GAUGAACGCUGGCGGCGUGCCUAAUACAUGCAAGUCGAGCGAACAGACGAGGUGCUUGCUCCUCUGAUGUUAGCGGCGGACGGGUGAGUAACACGUGGAUAACCUACCUAUAAGACUGGGAUAACUUCGGGAAACCGGAGCUAAUACCGGAUAAUAUCUUGAAACGCAUGGUUCAAUAGUGAAAGACGCUAUUGCUGUCACUUAUAGAUGGAUCCCGGGUGCAUUAGCUAGUUGGUAAGGUAACGGCUUACCAAGGCAACGAUGCAUAGCAGACUGGAGAGGGGUAUGGCCACCUGUGAACCUGAGACGGGCCCCAGACUCCAAGGGGGGGCAAGGAUGGGAAAUCUGGCGAAAGGGGAGAAACCCUGCGGGAGAAGCGCCGCGUGGGUGAAAAGGUUUUGGGUAGCGAAAAUCUGUUUUUUUAGGAAAAAACAGGUGUGAAUGUAACGGUCAACAAGUGACGGUAACUAAACAAAAAGGCACGGCUAACUACGUG
rnacentral:rRNA from 1 species